CAAGACAACUUUACGGAGUUGACGAUUGACGGAGCGAAGCGACGUCAAAGCGUUCAUUAAAGUCGAGUUGGCUUAGGGAUACGUUCGUUGGGUAGGGGAGCGUUCUGUAAGCCUGUGAAGGUGUGUCGUGAGGCAUGCUGGAGGUAUCAGAAGUGCGAAUGCUGACAUAAGUAACGAUAAAGCGGGUGAAAAGCCCGCUCGCCGGAAGACCAAGGGUUCCUGUCCAACGUUAAUCGGGGCAGGGUGAGUCGACCCCUAAGGCGAGGCCGAAAGGCGUAGUCGAUGGGAAACGGGUUAAUAUUCCCGUACUUGGUGUUACUGCGAAGGGGGGACGGAGAAGGCUAUGUUGGCCGGGCGACGGUUGUCCCGGUUUAAGCGUGUAGGUGUGUGUUCCAGGUAAAUCCGGUUCACUUUAACACUGAGGCGUGACGACGAGGCACUACGGUGCUGAAGCAACAAAUGCCCUGCUUCCAGGAAAAGCCUCUAAGCAUCAGGUAACACGAAAUCGUACCCCAAACCGACACAGGUGGUCAGGUAGAGAAUACCAAGGCGCUUGAGAGAACUCGGGUGAAGGAACUAGGCAAAAUGGUGCCGUAACUUCGGGAGAAGGCACGCUGACACGUAGGUGAAGUGAUUUACUCAUGGAGCUGAAGUCAGUCGAAGAUACCAGCUGGCUGCAACUGUUUAUUAAAAACACAGCACUGUGCAAACACGAAAGUGGACGUAUACGGUGUGACGCCUGCCCGGUGCCGGAA
rnacentral:rRNA from 2 species